CCCUGACCCUACAUCUUUGGCACAGGAGACAAGCCCGAAUUUCCAAGUUCUCCCAAUCAGGGUUCAGCAUUGAACACAGGACACUCACCAUGGAUUUAGGGCUAAUAUUGGUUUCCUUUGUCCUUAUUAUAAAAGGUGUACAGUGUGAGGUGCAAUUGCUGGAGUCUGGCGGAAGCUUAGUGCAGCCUGGAAAGUCCCUGAAACUCUCCUGUGCAGCCUCUGGAUUCACCUUUGGUGAUUAUAACAUGAACUGGGUCCGCCAGACUCCAGGGAAGGGGCUGGAGUGGGUCGCAUACAUUAGUUAUGGUGGUAGUAGCACCUACUAUACCAACGCUGUGAAGGGCCGGUUCACAAUCUCCAGAGACAAUGCCAAGAACACUCUGUACCUGGAAAUGAACAGUCUGAGGUCUGAAGACACAGCCAUGUAUUACUGUGCAAGAGACACAGUGAGUGAAUGCUACUGUGAGCUCAGACAAAAUCACCGCUGUGGGGAACACGGGACCAGCAGGGGGCGCUGAGAGCACAUAGAGAUCUGGGUCACAGAAG